rnacentral:lncRNA from 1 species
GUAUGCUGGGACAUGUAGUGUAUCCUAGUAUUACGGUUUCCCACUUUGAGGCCCUCUUCCUUCAAGAUUCCAACCAGAAGAUUUCAGCCCUUCUGUUUAAUGUAUUCUCGUCCGUUGUUCAGUACUCACCAUGUUGAUGUAUUCGGCUGCAAGUGACAGAAAACUCCAACUGAAGUUGAUUUACAGAAAAUGUCAUAAGCUGAGACCAAGAUGGCACGUCAGUUCCAGGUAUGAUAUGCAGACAUAACGACAUCCAGAGGAAGAAGAGGACUGUACCUUUCUUAAAUCUCUUCCAAGAAUAAGAAUGAGGAGACCUUUCCUGGAAAGCUCUAACACCUGCCCAGAAGAUUUUCUCCCAUGUCUAUUGUGCCAGAAAUACGUUAUCUACACAUUCUUAAACCACUUACUAACAAGGGGAAUAGAAUUAACGUACUUGGCUUAGAUUAAUCAUCUGGGGUGAAAUAGAUUCUGAUGACACGGGGACUUAGACCACUGUAUUGCAACUGUUAUUAAUCAAUUGGAAUGCCCAGAGCCAAAUUUUAGGCUUACCACUAGCAAUGUCAUGAACUUUGGAUAUUACCAUUCCCCCGAGCUUUAUCUUAUUUUCUACCUCAGUUUUCUCACAUUCUUAGUUUUUAAUAUAUUGAAAUAUAUAUUUUAUUGCAAGUGACCUCAAAUCCUUUUUUAUAAUGUGGUGGAGUAAAAAUAAAAAUGAUUAAGUAGC